ACGGAGGGUGCGAGCGUUAAUCGGAAUUACUGGGCGUAAAGCGUACGUAGGCGGUUGGUUAAGUUAGAUGUGAAAGCCCCGGGCUUAACCUGGGAACUGCAUUUAAAACUGGCGAACUAGAGUUGAGUAGAGGGGAGUGGAAUUUCAGGUGUAGCGGUGAAAUGCGUAGAGAUCUGAAGGAACACCAGUGGCGAAGGCGACUCCCUGGACUCGAACUGACGCUGAGGUACGAAAGCGUGGGUAGCAAACGGGAUUAGAAACCCUAGUAGUCC
rnacentral:rRNA from 1 species